rnacentral:lncRNA from 1 species
GAAACCUUACCCACUAUUAUUUACCCUCUCCUUAGCUUCUAAGAUCCCAAUGACUCAAAAUGGGCCUCAUUAGCCCUAUGGCUUAAUUAAUCCUAAUAGCUUCUAGUGGUAUUUUUACUUAAAUUAUUGGAAUCAUGUAUUUUUCCUGAUGAAAUCCAUGAUUUCAUUCCAUAUCAGCUCCUACAAGUUCCUCAGUUGAUCAGUAAAUAUGUGGCAGCUACUCUAAAAGGCACUGGAUAUAUAAAGUUAAAUAGUUCCCUCCCUCAAAGAGCUUAUAUUCUAUCACUGGAUAGAAAAAAAAAUAUUUAGGCAUAUAAAAAUUAAUAUAAGUUCUCUAAAGGGCAUUUUUGAAGGAUGACAUUCAUUUGUGCAUGGCUCUCAUUUGUUUAGUAAUUUUUAGUCAAGUUCAACUUUUCAUCAUCCUAUUUGGAAUUUUCUUGGCAAAGAUACUGGAAUAAAUGAGGAAACUGAAGCAAACAAGGUUAGGUGACUUGCCCAGAGUCACACAGUUAAGAAAGAAGAUCUUAUUGUCUCAAUUCCAUCUAACUAAACAGAAAAAAACCCAAUUUGACUUGUAAGAGAUCUGUCAGUGGCCACUUGGAAGGUCUGCCUUGGCAACCUCUCAACUGAGAUUCAAAAAGUACAGGAAGUGGAAGGAGGAAGGACAAAACAUGCACAGUUGCUGCUGAAGAAAAAUGAAACCCUCAGCUACUGUUCCCCAGGCCCCUCGCUUUCUCAUUCUGCUUGCUCCAUUCAUGUCUGCUAUAGAUUUUGCACUGCCCGUCUCCCUCAGUAGGACACCAGUCCUGUGAGCACUCAGAGGCCAAACAAAACCCGGAUUCACAGAUAUGUAACUGUUUUUCUUUGCUCAUGGCAUUAAAGAAAAAAAAUUCUGUUAGCACAGGGC